CCAGUUGGUGCAUGGCCGUUCUUAGUUGGUGGAACGAUUUGUCUGGUUAAUUUCGAUAACGAACGAGACUCUAGCCUAUUAAAUAGUCGCUCCGGUAUCCAAUGCUACCGGCGACAUUUUAUCUUCUUAAAGGGACAGGCGGCUCUCAGCCGCACGAGAUUGAGCAAUAACAGGUCUGUGAUGCCCUU
rnacentral:rRNA from 1 species